rnacentral:rRNA from 1 species
CAAGCGUUGUCCGGAUUUAUUGGGCGUAAAGGGAGCGCAGGCGGAUGACUAAGCGGAUCUUAAAAGUGCGGGGCUUAACCCCGUGAUGGGAUUCGAACUGGUCAUCUUGAGUGCAGGAGAGGAAAGCGGAAUUCCCAGUGUAGCGGUGAAAUGCGUAGAUAUUGGGAAGAACACCAGUGGCGAAGGCGGCUUUCUGGUCUGUAACUGACGCUGAGGCUCGAAAGUAUGGGUAGC